rnacentral:lncRNA from 1 species
CUGAAGCGUCAGACACAUCUUUUCAACAUUCGUCUAUGGUAGAAAGCAAUUGCCUGAUCAUUUUGAUAGACAAACAACAGUCAAGAAUUCUUACUUUUUCUGUUUUCCACAAGUGUUGCACGUUUCAGGUUGAUCAUCAUUUUUGCACACAGAUGGAGAUGGAAAUAUUUCAGGUUGAUCAUCAUUUUUGCACACAGAUGGAGAUGUAAAUAUUUCAGGUUGAUCAUCAUUUUUGCACACAGAUGGAGAUGGAAAUAUUUCAGGUUGAUCAUCAUUUUUGCACACAGAUGGAGAUGGAAAUAUUUCAGGUUGAUCAUCAUUUUUGCACCCAGAUGGAGAUGGAAUCACCACAUCAGGACUCAUAAUGCAGUCAUCUCCAUUUGCAACAAUGACACAUGCAUCCAGCUCAACUCCUGCAGGGUCCCUCUUUCUUUUCAAAGGCAAGCCUAUGUUCGUAUCUAAGCUAGUUUUACUGAGAAGAAGCUUUUGUGUUUCUGAACUCUUUGGAGGUGAACCUAUAGCGUUUCCAUCCCCUGUUUCAACCAUCGGGGAUGCAUCAUCAGGCACCAUCUUUACUGUGUCCUUCACAGGUGGUGGACAAUCGGUGUUACCGUCUUGAGCAGCAUCAUCAUUGCUUGCAGGUAUGCGGCGAGAACAACCAACAACUACUAGUUCCUCAUCAUUUGAAGCAUUAACUAACGCCUCGGAUUUAUUAUUGAGCCUUCUAAACAAAGCUCUAAAACUCCGGGCUGACAUUAUAGGCUCCCGUUUCUUGAUUUCAUUUGUCGGCUCUUGUAAAUUGUUUCCCUUCAUAUCCUUCCUCUGCUGAAUAUUCAGAGGACUUGGUGUAUUUUUCUUCUCAAUUCGAGCAGACUUUCUCGAUACUGAAGCAGGUACGGGAGCCAGUCUCUCUG